rnacentral:rRNA from 1 species
AUUGAACGCUGGCGGCAGGCCUAACACAUGCAAGUCGAGCGAGCGGCGGACGGGUGAGUAAUGUAUGGGGACUGCCCGAUAGAGGGGGAUAACUACUGGAACCGGUGGCUAAUACCGCAUACUGUAGGCUAACCCAUAUGGGAUUAGCUAUUAGGUACGGUAAUGGCUGACCUAGGCGACGAUCCCUAGCUGGUCUGAGAGGAUGAUCAGCCACACUGGGACUUAGACACGGCCCAGACUCCUACGGAGGCAGCAGUGGGGAAUAUUGCACAAUGGGCGCAAGCCUGAUGCAGCCAUGCCGCGUGUAUGAAGAAGGCCCUAGGGUUGUAAAGUACUUGCAGUCGGGAGGCGUUACCGACAGAAGAAGCACCGGCUAACUCCGUGCCAGCAGCCGCGGUAAUAC